UACGAAGGGGGCUAGCGUUGCUCGGAAUCACUGGGCGUAAAGGGCGCGUAGGCGGCCAUUCAAGUCGGAGGUGAAAGCCCAGGGCUCAACCCUGGAAUUGCCUUCGAUACUGUUUGGCUAGAGACCGGAAGAGGUAAGUGGAACUGCGAGUGUAGAGGUGAAAUUCGUAGAUAUUCGCAAGAACACCAGUGGCGAAGGCGGCUUACUGGCCCGGUUCUGACGCUGAGGCGCGAAAGCGUGGGGAGCAAACAGG
rnacentral:rRNA from 1 species